rnacentral:rRNA from 1 species
CCUACGGGAGGCAGCAGUGAGGAAUAUUGGUCAAUGGGCGCGAGCCUGAACCAGCCAAGUCGCGUGAGGGAAGACGGUCCUAUGGAUUGUAAACCUCUUUUGUCGGGGAGCAAAAGACGCCACGCGUGGCGUUCCGAGAGUACCCGAAGAAAAAGCAUCGGCUAACUCCGUGCCAGCAGCCGCGGUAAUACGGAGGAUGCGAGCGUUAUCCGGAUUUAUGGGGUUAAAAGGGUGCGCAGGCGGAAGAGCAAGUCAGCGGUAAAAUUGAGAGGCUCAACCUCUUCGAGCCGUUGAAACUGGUUUUCUUGAGUGAGUGAGAAGUAUGCGGAAUGCGUGGUGUAGCGGUGAAAUGCAUAGAUAUCACGCAGAACUCCGAUUGCGAAGGCAGCAUACCGGCGCUCAACUGACGCUCAUGCACGAAAGUGUGGGUAUCGAACAGGAUUAGAUACCCGUGUAGUC